UUGAGACUUCAAAACCCCACCCCAGGAAACGAUGCACACACUGGCUAAUAUCCAUUUUUAACUUAUUUCUUGAAACAUGACAUGUCGCACUUCAGAGUUCUCGGCUGCGUGCUUUUUAAGUGGCUUCUUUGUGAUUUUAUCUUUUUCACUUGCAGGUCAGAAUAUCGUCGGGUGCAGCUGCUGCAGCUGCAAUUAAUAUUGCAAAGAGGCCAGAAAAUUCUGGAAAGCUCAUUGUGGUGAGUAAAGUCCAAUUGCCCGCCAUCUUUCCUACGCAGCCAGUUUUCUUCUUUUUUUUUUUUUUUGUGGAUACACGGUCAGUUUUUUUUUUUAUAUCUAAUAUACAUGGCCAGUUUAAUCAUAAUAAAAUUCUACAUGAACAAAGCGGUUUUAUUCUUGAAGGUGUCAGCGUUGAACAUUUGACAUAUUUAUUAAUGAAAAAAACAACUAAAUGCAAAAAUAUCCACGGACUUCCACGAGGGGUGAUCGGUUCCCGGUUUGGUCCGGUUCCACCCAAGAACCGGGAACCAGACCGGGAAGACCGGUUCCCACUUUUCUGGACUGUGGACCGGACCGGCUAUCUUUGAACCGAGAACUGGACCGGACCAAUCGGUCGGGUCCAGUCCGAUCGGUUCCAAUGACCCAUUACUUGUUUUCAUUUCAUUUAACAAAAAAAUAAAUAGUAAUUACUAGUAAAGUAAUGCACGAGAUUAUGAUUUGGUGAAGUUUUUUUAUUCACUUUGUGACCAACAAAGUGACGCCCUAUUAAAUUAAAAACGUCAACUUUAUGUAAACAAAAAUUAAAAUCUUGCAUCAUACCCUAUGUCCUUGCACUGUUAUGAAACAAAAAAAUAAGCUAAAAAAUCUACACAAAUUUGAAAUAUCAUAAAAGUUUUUCUUUCAAAACAUAUUUCACACACUCACCUUCAUUCUCAUGAACAUAAAUGCUAUUAGAGAUGCAAAAAAUAAAAGAAAAAUAGAAUUCGAACUUAACAAAAAUUCAACACAUAGUUUGGCCGUUGUUCAAUACCAUUUAUUAGUGGUCAUAACUAAUCUAGAACAAACCCUCCAUGGAAUAAAAAACAAAAUCAAAUUUCAAAAUUAGGACAAGAGAUUCAACAUUAAACUACCAAACUCCAUACAUCUCGCCGAAUCACUCAAUGUUGCAUGGCCCGAGGGGAAUGGAUUCUUUGCUCAAGCAAGCAAAAUGAAAAUAUGAUCAAAUCCGAGAGUCUAAAAUUUGCUAAUAGUCAUGCAAUAAGUAUAUAUGAUAACUCAACAUUAGUUUUAAAGUAUAAUUACUUUUAAUUGAACUCAAAUAAUUAAUGUAAAAUCUCACCACAUAUAUUUCUUUCACUUAAACUUGCAAACUCUAUUUACCAGUAAGCUCCGAAUGAACUUCAUUCAUAUCUAACAAAACAAAAUAUUAAAUAGAGCAUUCACUGAUUAGAUAUACAAAAGAAUUACAAGAUAGAAAGAUACAUUGAUGACUUACCCCAUUCAAAUCUUUCCGCAUUUUCAAUGUACUCUUCAACAUUAAUUGUCAUUGUAGCUUUUCUUAACCAAUCUUGAGUGCAAAUCAAAGCUUCCACUACUAUAUGAGUUAAAGAACUUCGAAAGCUAUCAAGCACACGACUGGAUGUACUGAAAGUCGACUCCGAAGCAACAAUUGUUACAGGAAUAGAUAAAAUAUCUCGAGCCAUUAAAGAAAUGAUUUCAAACUUUUGGCCAGUAGUUUUCCACCACAUCAAUAGGUCAAGAUCACGACUUUCUUCACAUUCGGCUUUAAGAUACUUAUCGAGCUCAGAUAGCUUACUUGCUGACACUUUUUUCUCCUCGCGAAGAAAGAUAUCAAAUGCCUUGUCUAAAUUGAAAUCCUCAACCAAAUCAAGAUAAUCAUUCUUACCCUCAUGGUUAUCAGGAUCCCAACUACUAUCAAUAUUAAUACCAAAAUUUCUAUCACAAGAAUUAAGAUGAGAUUUUUCAUAAAAAUGAAACAAUCUUUCUAGGGCAAUUCUCGCCUUGUCAUACAUUUCAUCAACUUUCACACUAUCAUCAUAGAUUAAUCUAUAACAAUACCGCACAUAGCUCAUCUUUAUUAUUGGAUCCAAUAUCACCGCAAUUAAUACCAUCAUAUUCACUUUUUCAAAACUCCCAUAGUAUUUGUCAAACUUCUCCUUCAUCUUUGCACCCAUAACUUUCAAACUAAGAUCCGAAGCCUUCUCCGCUUGUUUCAAAGUUUUAUAUAAAGUUGCUAUCUCAUUGAAAUAAUCAUUCGCAGUGAUGUAUAGAGUCCCAGACAUCUUGUUGGCGGCAUCAUAAAACUUAUUUAAAAAUACUAAAAGAAUUCUGGCAUAUUCCCAAUCUUCAUGUGUAGGAGUGUCAUAGUCAAGCUCACUCAAGAAAGAUCAUCUUCUUCUAUCAUUUCAAAAGCUUUUCUAAAUUUUAAAACAGUAUCCAACAUGAGAUAAGUAGAGUUCCACCUAAUUAUGACAUCAAGACAAACCGAAUCCUUAUAAGUGAUCCUUGCACUUUAAAUGCAACCUUGAAAUGUUUUAGCUCUCAUGGGAGAACUUCUCACAUACUUAACCACGUUUCAAAUAUGUAUAAUAGAAUCACAUACCUCAGUCAAUCCAUUAUUCACAAUCAAGUUUAAAAUAUGAGCCGUGCACCUCAUAUAUAAAACAUCACCUUCCAAGAUCAAUAGCCUAUCUCUUAAUAAUUUUUCUUUUAAAAAACCAAUGGCAAUAUCAUUAGAACUAUCAUUAUCCACAGUGAUUGUGGAUACAUUUUUCUCUAUUCCCCACUCAUAGAUGCAUUUCUCAAUCACCAUAAAAUUGAUUAUUUGUUUGUGCAAUUUAUAGUUGUCAUCAAUAAAAUGUGUGGUGAGACAAAUAAUUCAAAUUAUGGAUGGAAAUCCAUGUAUCAGUUGUGAGUAUAAUCCUAGACUUAAGCUUGCUAAAGAAAGUCUUCAAAUUUUUUUUCUUACAAAGAUAUAACUUCAUGCAAUCUCUAGCCACUAUAAAUCGUAAGAUGUGAUGAAAGAGAGGUUGUAUCUGAUCAAUAAAAUCUCGGAAUCUAACAUGCUCAACCAUCGAAAAAGGUAGUUCAUCCGUUAUGAUCAUUCGAACAAGCAUUUGUCUAUAACGAUUUUGAUUGAAUUCCAAUGUUGAUAAGAUAGUUGCACUACCAUCAAUACUAGUAUGCUUCAUUGUUAUCCCUUGUGCUUUACGUGAGGUGAAAUUUUUUUGCUUCUUAUCUAUGUUGCGAUUAUGCUUAUUGCACUUUUUCAAGUGCUUCAAUAUAGCGGAAGUACCAUUAUCAACAUAGUACGUAUACUUGGCCCCACAAGAAUUGCAAAUCACUAUAGUUUUCUCCUUCUCAGUUUUGCCCUUACGAAAAUGAGGCCAGACUGUUGAUGCUCGUUUACCAGAACUAGGAAGACAAGCAUUAGAUACCUUGUUUGUGUUGGAUGCCACUUCGAAGUUUUCAAUUUCUUUACCUUUUAUGUUCUAGUGAGUCCAUCAUAGGAUUCACAUCAUUAUUUAAUUGAUCCACUUCCAUUGACAUAUAAAUAGAUCGGCUGAAUCAAACAAAAUAUUAUAAUGAGCCAUCAAACCAUCAUAUUCAUUUAUAUCAAUAGGGAUACUAAAGAUAUGAUUGCAGCCUUACUUCUUAAUGCCAUGUCCAUAUUUAUCAUAUAACUAUACCUACAAAAAUAGAUACUAAAAAAUUAAGCAAAUAUUAAGUCGCAACUUGAGCAAGAGUAGAUUUCCAGCAGCCAAAGUGAUACUUUUUCUUCCAAAAAUGGAGGAAGGAACAAGAUCAAAACCAAGGUCAAUAUAUGUUAGGCCAAGCCAACAAAAUGGAUAUCAAUAUCUACUCCACGUGUGGAGAGAGAAUGGGGCACAGUCUUAUGCUGAAUAAAAAUUAACAAAAUCAAGUUUGGAACAGAUAAAAUUCAUGGCAAGCGGACACCAACAAGCACACUCAUUCAUUCACAACUCAUAAGGCAAUAUAGCUGCUCUUCGAUCAACACUAGCCGGACAAGCAUUGGCGAAAUGAUAGUUCUCCUCAUCAUCGAGCGAAAGCAAAUUGGGGGACACUAGAUCGAGUGCAUGAACUUGAAAACGACUAUGCACCAGCAAUACUCACGCACAGAGCAACCCCAUUCGAUUCAGUAGACAAGCUAAUCAAGAAUUCCAGCACUCAACUAUGACUACCCCUACUGGAGUCUACACAUCCUUUCACUCUACUCAUUAGCAAUGACACUCCAGAUUCAUCACAAACAAGACACGCCAGACAAUCACGUGCUACAAAGAAUCAAAAGAAAGGCGAGAUCUUCCAAAGAAAGAACAUUUUGUCUUUUCACUACAACAGAUGGAAAAAUAGAAAUGGGUCAUGUUCAAAGACCACAAAGAAAGAACAUUUCGCCUUAUUCACUACAAAAUAUAAAAAACAGGAAUGGGUCAUGUUUAGAGACUAGCUGAACAACCACGUAACAUCCAACCAAAAGCACAAACAAAUGCACUCUUUAUUACUUGCAAAAGUUCUAGAACAGGAGACAUCAUUCAAUUACAUUAAGGGGUGAUCGGGUUCAGAGUGGGUAGGUUCCAAACCUAGACUCUGUACUCGACCCUAUUAUAAUCGGUUUCCCUUUUUUGGACCCUAUACCCGACCUUGUUUGUAUUGGACCAUGUAUCCAACCUACCCUGUUUUUCCGGUCCAGUUCCAAGGUUAACCCUGUAUAUAUUGAAACCUAUUUUACAACCGCCAAUCUAUACGACUUCGAAUUUUAUUUUAAUACGUGAGAAAACAACAAAAUUUUCUAAUUUAUAUUGAAAUAUUAAGCAUAAUUAAUAAGUAAAUUUCUACCUCAUUUCGUAUGUAUUAACCAAAUUGAUUUACCCAAGAUUAGGUCGCGAUAGUUUAGCUAUUCCAUUGGGUUUUUUUUUGGGAUCACUCGACAAGGGGCCUUCUUCGUUCCUUGGAAAAAAGAAACACAAAAAAAAGGGGAGGAAAAGCUUGAGAGUCAAGGUCAAUGUCAGGAGGCAGAGGAGACGUGGGCAGUGUAGAGAGGGACGUGUGAGAGACGUGACAAGCCAGUAGGGAGAACAGAAAAAAAAAAGAAAAAGAAAAAAGAAGAAACAUAAUAGUGCACUGUUGAUCUUCUUCAUGGGCUCCCUCUGCACGCCAUAGCCGCCGACUGUUGUGCCUGCGUCGCCGCGGCUGCACCACCGCGCCACCGCCAAAGCCCCCUCACUCGCAAGCUCGCACCGCCACUCAUUGCCCCUGCUAUGGCCGUGACGACCCGACACCUAUGACCGCCCGAAGCUCCACCGCCGUCGCCCUUGGCCCCGUGAAGCCACCAUUGCACCAGCAACGCUGCUUGGCUCCUCGCAACACCAGCAACCAGUGAAGUCGCAAGGUCAACAAGAAGGUGUACAAUCCGGUUCCCAAACCGGUCCGAUCGAUCCGGUUCCUAGGUGGGUAAUCCUUCGGAACUGGUUCCCAGACCGGUUCAAACCAGUUUUGACUUUUGGGAACUGGUUCCCGGAUCGAUUUCAACAGGAAUUGGUUCUCGACCCUGUUUUCCAGGUGGGCCGAUUUAGGAACCGGGUUUAUCCAGUCCAGUUGCACACCCCUAAUUACAUCCAACAAAACCCGCUAAGCUUGUAAAAUCUUAACGAUGGGAUUCUAAAAUCGUACAUCAUAAUCCUAAAAUAGAAAAAGGGACUCAACAAAACAUCAUAAUCAACGAAAAAACAAACAGAUAAAGAAGAAACAUUGAUCCAAAGCAUAAAUUAUGUCCCUCUCUUCUUCGAAUCAGCUCGACAAAAUCCAGUGGUUCAGCAGCUCGCUCAAGCAUCGACAAUGGAAGAUAUAGGUCACGGCGGCACCUAAUAUAGCAACACCAUCCACGAAACACGACCAACACAAAUAAUAGAGUUACACUAACCCAUCUUCCAUCAAGACAUGAAGAAUUAAAUCUCAACAGAGAGCCAAGAGAUUGAAAUCCCCUAAUGAAGCGCGCUCUUACCCACACCAAAAUGCGCGGAGGAGAUGAAAUCCAACCACCCACCACCCCCCUCCCCCAAAUGCGACAUCAAUACAGCACAAUCGCAUGUCGGAAACAAACGAAGAUGGGACUACAGAGUAUAAAUGAUCAAACAACGAAGCCGCGCGGCAAUGAAAACAUAGCAAAAGAGCUGAUCGAGGAUGGACUCGGGACUCACCUCAAAGAACGAGAGACCCUUGGGAAUCGCCGGGGCAGCGAUGAGACGGGAGAGAGCGAAGAGAUGAUGACGUUGUGGGGAGGAAGGGUUUGGGAAAAUGAAAGUUGAAUCGAAUUACCGCCAAGUUGGAUCACAAAAAUUGGGAAAAUAGAAGUUGAUGUGAUGGUUAAUGUAUAUUAAAGCAAAAACUAACAAAAAAAAAAUAGAGGGGUUUAGCUGUUCGUUUAGGUUUCAAGAGGGAAAGACAAGUGAGAAGAAUUGCAAAAAUUUGGAAAAUAAAAGCUUAUGUGAAUGUUACUGUUGAGUGCAGUUCAGAAGCAAACGAGGGGAGGGAUUAUUAGCUUUGAGUUAUGAGAGAAGAAAUGAAUAUGAUGGUAAAGGGUACUAUAAAUUAUUUCAGAAAUUAAAAAAUAUAUAUAAAUGGUCAGUUCGGUUUGGUCCGGUUCGGUCCGGUUCCGACCUCGAAACCGGUAACCGGAUCAACCGGUCACCGGUUCCAAAAAUAGGAACCUGAGACCGGACCAAGACCCUCUAGGACCACUCGAAACCGACUAAUCCGGUCCGGUCGGUUCCUGGUUCGGGCAGUUUCCGUUGCACACCCCUAGGCUCCAUAGAAAUUCAAACCCCCUAAACAAAAGAAAAAGAAAAAGAAAUACGAAUCUUUCACGCAAAUAACUUGGAAAUCUGAGCCAAUGAAAUGACACACAUAAAAACUGCCCAUACAGUGCAGCCAUUCCUUUUUUUACAGGGACUGCAAUUCUCUCUUGGAGGAAAGAAAAAAAAAAAAAAACUGCGACCAUGGAUAAUAUUAAGGCCACCCAAAUCACAAACAGAGUAAACUUUGUCUAUGCAUAAUUUUUGGAUGAAAUGCCAAUUAGACUUAACACAAUAACCAUCACUGAUAGGAGGUAACACCCAGUGUUACAGCCAUUGAAGAAUUCGAACUCCGAAUGAUGUUUAUGGGAGGAAAUGGCUUGUCCUGUGUAAUUGGAGGCCUCGGAAAAAAUCCCUCCUGGCGGAUGCGCAGACAAUUGAGCAGCUGUGCUGUGGUAGCCAGCAGAGUGGCCACAACCAAGAACACAUCUCAUAACCCUUUUUCCUACUCAUUUGGUUGAAUGCGAGGUGAACGGGGUCCCAUUCAACGUUGCCCCUAGCCAUUUUUCAGCGAACACAUUGAGUAAGCGCUUCAAGUUGAAAAGGGAAAGAGAUACUUAAAGAAAGGCGACCAAGUGGUCAAUUUAUAGGGGCAGUCGGCCGUCGUGGAUAAUCUCACAAAAUUCCUCAUUCUGUUUCUGUGACUCGUCGGAAAAUCCUCUCAUUUGUUGCUGAAUCCCGGAAAAUCUUCCCCUCUAUUGCGAGUCGUCUCUCAGUCUGUUGCGAGUCCUAGAAAAUCUUCACCGGGUUUUGCGAGUCGUCGCCCCAUCCGUUGCGAGUCGUCUCCCUGUCUGUUGCAAAUUCCAGAAAAUUUUCACCAUCAGUUUGAGUCCUCUCCCCCGUUGCGAGUCCCACAUAAUCCUCCCUUCGUUUGACUCGUCUAUUACGUGUCUCGGGAACUCUCUUUCCCUCUCCCUGUGCGCCCCCCAUGCAAAUUCGUUUGCUUAGCAUUUGGUUUCGGAGGAAUCGGGGCUGCUUAGGCCUCGUUAGGCCUCGGACGGCGUGUUGUUUUGUUUUUGCAGAGUUGAACUUCUCGUCGCGCAAGAUUUCGGUCGAAGAUGUUUCUCCUUUCUCCGUGGAGACUGUCCAUCGGCAUCACUUGUAAUGCUACAGAAUAGUCUCAUGAGUUUCUAAGAAUUUCUUAGCUUUUUUUUGGUUUCUAGGGACAAUUGCUUUUAAGUGCCAAAAUUAGUAUUCCCUACAGUUUUUACAAGUGUUAAUUCACUCACUCCAGAUAGAUUAGUAUAAUACAUAAGCCAUACUCUGCCGCUUGCACUUUCGUAAGGUCUUGCCUUGUAUUUUUCAGACUACUGCUAUGGCCUCCCUCUCGCUUCCAUAAUUGCGGCUUGUUCAAAUAAGUUUUUCGUUGGUCCAAGGGUGUGUUUUGUUUAAAAGGAAGUGUUUUUUCAAAAUUAAUUUUCUGAACUUUCAUCCAUUUGACUUGUCGAAAAUGAUUAGUCAACCAAAAAUAAUUUCUAAUUUGGGAAAAUAUUUGUAGAUAAAAAUUAGGAAAGUAGAUUAUUAAAUUUAAGACGGUGAAAACACUAUGGAAUUGCUCUUAAAUUAUUCAAUAUUUUAUUUAUUUUAUUUUAAAAAUUGAUAUUUUAAAUAUUUUCUUUUCUUUUCCUUUCCUUUCCUUUCCUCCUUCCUCCUCCAUCGAUCGCUUGGUCUAGAUGACUGACCACAAGCAUGAGCUAGCGAAGGCUGGCCUUGCCAACCUAUUACAAUAAUUUGUACCUAUAGUCUUGAACCUAUAAUGAUUAAAUUGAAAAACUAUAGUCUUGAACCUAUAAUAGGUUCACCACGUCUUUGGAAAAGUUAUCAUAUAGUCUUGAACCUAUAAUGCGCAUGGUUCGUUGUUUUUCGUGGUGAUAUUAUUUUUUGAUGAGUCAAAUUAAUAAAAGUUCGAAAAAUUAAUUUUGAAAAAACACUUUCUUUUAAACAAAACACACCCUUGGACUAGCGAAAAACUUAUUCGAACAAGCCACAAUUACGAAAGCGAGAGGGAGGCCAUAGACAGGGCAAGACCUUAUGAAAGCGCAAGCGGCAGCGUAUGGCUUAUGUAUUAUACUAAUCUAUGUGGAGAGAGAAAAUUAACACUUGUAAAAACUGUAGGGAAUACUAAUUUUGGCGCUUAAAGGCAAUUGUCCUCAGAAAGCAUAAAAAAGACAAGAAAUUCUUAGAAACUCGUGAGACGAUUUCGCAGCAUUACAAUACCUCAAAUAUAGCAGAAAUUGGCAUUUUGUGAUGCUGCCGGACAGUCUCCACAAAGAAAGGAGAAACGUCGAUCUUCGACCGAAAUCUUGCGCAACGAGAAGUUCAGCUUGGCAAAAACAGCACACCGUCCGAGGCCUAAACAGCCCCGAUUCCUCUGAAACUAAACCCUAAGCAAACGAAUUCGCAUGGGAGGAUAGCACAGGGAGAGGGGAAGAGAAUUCCCGAGACUCAUAAAGAUGAGUAAGAUGAAGGGAGGAUUAUACGGGACUCGCAACAGGUGACUUGCAACGGGGGAGAGGACUCGCAACCGACAGUGAAAACUUUCUAGGAUUCGCAACGGACAAGGAGACGACUCGCAACGGAUAGGGCGACGACUUGCAAGACCCGGUGAAGAUUUUCCGAGACUCGCAACAAACUAGGAGACGACUCACAACAGAGGGGAAGAUAUUCCAGGAUUCAAUAACAUAUGGGAGGAUUUUCCGACGAGUCAUAGAAAUAGAAUGAGGAAUUUUGCGAGAUUAUCCACGACGGCCGAUUGCCCUUAUAAAUUGACCACUUGGUCACCUUUCUUUAAGUAUCCCUUUCCCCUUUCAACUUGAAGCGCUUACUCAAUCUGUGUUUGCUGAAAAAUGGCUAGGGGCAAUGUUGAACGGGACCCCAUUUGCCUCGCAUUCAACCAAAUGAGCAGGAAAAAGGGUUACGAGAUGUGUUCUUGGUUGUGGCCACUCUGCUGGCUAUCACAGCUGCUCAAUUGUCUACGCAUCCGCCAGGAGGCACUUUUUCCGAUGCCUCCAAUCACAUAGGACAAGCCAUUUUCUCCCAUAAACAUUAUUCAGAGUUCGAAUUCUUCAAUGGCUGUAAUACCGGGUGUUACCUCCUAUCAAUGAUGGUUAUUGUGUUGAGUCUAAUUGGCAUCUCAUCCAAAAGUUCUGCAUGGACAAGGUUUACUCUGUUUAUGAUUUGGGUAGCCUUAAUAUCAUUCAUGGUCACAUUUUUUAUACCUAUUACUCAUGUAAAAGAGGGAGUUGCUGUAUGGGCAGUUUUGAUGUGAGUUAUGAUCAUCGAGAUAGUGUUGAAAGGACUUAUAUGGUUUGAAGGGUCCAUUUCGUUACUUCUAUGGUGGUCGUCAAUUUUAAGAAUUGUGAUGAUUAUGAUGCUAACCUGUGAGAGAAAUGUAGAUGAAUGGAUCACAUACGAUUCCUCGAACCACUUGCACAAGUAAUUAUCGCUAGCGGAACUAAUGAACUGCUUCCACAGUGAUUUGACACAUUCGUUACCAUUUGGUAUUUAGGACUGCUAUGAUGGAUGCCUAGUUUCUUCAACAGACUUGGAAAAAGAAAAAUGCUUUUAAUACUUAUGUUGCUUAAUUACUUCAAUGUGUAAUGAUGGCCUUCAGUACUGAACUCUACUUUAAAAUUGCUUAACCGAUUUGUUUUAGGCUAUCAAGUACCUUUCGGCUGCAGGUUUUGGUGCGAAGUUGCUUGCGGUUUUUGGGAAUGGCAUUGUUUAGUCAUUUAUAAAUGCUCGUACACUCACUCCAGAAGUUAUGGAUUAAUCAUUCAGCAUAAUAAAGAAUUUCACACGAUGUUGUGGAUUUCAGGGAAUUGUUCUAGAAAGUAAUGGAAUGUAAGAAAAUGAAUAUUGCUUCACGAUUUAAUACCUUAAGCACUUUAGAUAUGAGAUGUUCACAGUUCUACAGGUCUGAAAUGGUUUCAAAAAUCCCAUUGACCAUCUUUUGAUUGAAAGCAUUCAAAAGGGGAUAGUCAUCUUGUAUAUGGACCUAUCGGGUCAACCCUCUAGACUAACUUGAGAAAGUUUGUUGUUUCCUAUUCCAGUCUUUCAAAUUUGUUUGCUUGCCCUUUUUCCUUGGUUGUAGCCACUUUGAAAUCAAAUUUAUUUUGUAAUUGUUUGACUUUGGAUAUCCCAACUUUAUCUGAGUUUUUGUGCCAAAACUUUUAAAUGCAUAGCUAUAGGAUUGAUAACUCCAUUUUGUUAAAUUAAAUUUAUCAAAACAUCUUAUCCUGGCAAUAACAUAUGAACUCCCAUGAAGUCUGAUAACAUGUUACCUGUGUAUUUUAAUAAGUUCCACCUAUAGCUUGUUGCUUGACUUCAUUUUCAAUUUUUUUUUUUUUUGGGCCUAAUGCAACAGAUAUGAGAAAACCAAAGCUGGUGGCUGAAAUU
rnacentral:lncRNA from 1 species